AGAGUUCAUUGUUUAGACUCUGUGUGCAGCGCUGAAGCAGGUAGAGCAAACACACCUCAGCUCUUUUCUUAGCAUGCUUCCAGAACAGUCUGUGUUAGAGCUUUUCUGAGGAGCUGCUGUUUUGUUCAGCAUCCAGGACCAUCAGACAUGGAUUGUUCCUCUUCGGACACGGUGAAUGUCCAGAAUGCCACUGGUAUGCCCUGCUUAGCUGUGGGACUUGGAUGAAAUGGAAGAUGUGUUUAGAAGAAGAACAGUAUUGGAGAAACCUGCACUAGUGUUUCAGAACCUUUAAAUGAGUCAGCUACCACCACAUCAUAACAGAAUACAGCCCCUCACGUCCUGCUGUGCUCCAUUGUCGUUAGCAAAGUUCCUUCUUUUCUUUUUAUGAAUUAAUUUCAAAAUCUAAAUCAAAAUAAAAAUUCAUUCACCUCUGCA